rnacentral:rRNA from 1 species
UACGUAGGCAGCAAGCGUUGUUCGGAAUUACUGGGCGUAAAGAGUGUGUAGGCGGUGUUCUAAGUCUGUUGUGAAAUCUCCCGGCUCAACUGGGAGGGUGCGGCGGAGACUGGAAUGCUAGAGUAUGGGAGAGGUAAGCGGAAUUCCAGGUGUAGCGGUGAAAUGCGUAGAUAUCUGGAGGAACACCGGUGGCGAAGGCGGCAUCCUGGACCGGCAUUGACGCUGAGGAGCGAAAGCCAGGGGAGCAAACGGG